rnacentral:rRNA from 1 species
UACGUAGGGUGCGAGCGUUGUCCGGAAUUAUUGGGCGUAAAGAGCUCGUAGGCGGCUGUUCAAGUCGAACGUGAAAACUCGGAGCUCAACUCCGAGCCUGCGUUCGAUACUGGACGGCUAGAGUCUGGUAGGGGGAUCUGGAAUUCCUGGUGUAGCGGUGGAAUGCGCAGAUAUCAGGAGGAACACCAAUGGCGAAGGCAGCACUCUGGGACGUGACUGACGCUGAGACGCGAAAGCGUGGGGAGCAAACAGG